UUAAAAUGAUGAAAAACUAUAUUUUUCAGUUCUGCUUCUGAAUAAAACAGGAAGAUAACCCAAUUUACCAAAAGCUUACUUAUCUGAAAU
rnacentral:snoRNA from 1 species